UACGUAGGGUGCAAGCGUUAAUCGGAAUUACUGGGCGUAAAGCGUGCGCAGGCGGUUGUGCAAGACAGAUGUGAAAUCCCCGGGCUUAACCUGGGAACUGCAUUUGUGACUGCACGGCUAGAGUGCGGCAGAGGGGGAUGGAAUUCCGCGUGUAGCAGUGAAAUGCGUAGAUAUGCGGAGGAACACCGAUGGCGAAGGCAAUCCCCCGUGGGCCUGCACUGACGCUCAUGCACGAAAGCGUGGGGAGCAAACAGG
rnacentral:rRNA from 1 species